AACGAACGCUGGCGGCAUGCCUAACACAUGCAAGUCGAACGAGACCGUCGGGUCUAGUGGCGCACGGGGGCGUAACGCGGGGGAACCUGCCCGUAGGUUCGGAGUAACUCACCGAAGGGGGUGCUAAUACCGGAUAAGGUCUUCGGACCAAGGAUUUAUCGCCUUUGGGUGGGCCCGCGUUGGAUUAGCUAGUUGGGAGGGGAAAAGCCUACCAAGGCGACGAUGCAUAGCUGGUCGGUGAGGAUGCUCAGCCACACUGGGACUGCGACCCGGCCCACACUCCUACGGGACGCAGCAGUGGGUAAUAUUGUACACUGGGCGAAAGCCUGAUCCAGCCACGCCGCGUGAGUGAUGAAGGCCUUAGGGUUGCAAAUCUCUUUUUCCCGGGAUGAUAAUGACAGUACCGGGAGAAUAAGCUCCGGCUAACUCCGUG
rnacentral:rRNA from 1 species